rnacentral:lncRNA from 1 species
AGGAUCAAGACAUCCUAAGUCUCAGCACUGAGAGGGGAAAGUGGACACAGGUCCUCACUCCUAACCAAGAAGGUAGCUACAGUUGAUAUCUGCUGGCAGACUAAAAACUCAGUUUUCUCCAGUGGAGUCUCUUAGGUAUAGUAACUAUACAUGCAGGCAGGCCAGCAGUACUGGGUUAAUCCAACAGGUACUCAAUGGUAUUUUUGUGGACUUUUUGUUUCAUUCUACUUUGUUUGGACAUUUUUUUCCCCUCCGUCUUUAUUAACUUGGCUAUUUCUUUUUUUUCCAGAGCUGGGAACCGAACCCAGGGCCUUGCACUUGCUAGGCAAGCGCUCUACCACUGAGCUAAAUCCCCAACCCCAACUUGGCUAUUUCUUAUUUACAUUUCAAUUGUUAUUCCCUUUCCCAGUUUCCAGGCCAACAUCCCCCAGCCCCUCCCCUUCCCCUUCUUGAUGGGUGUUCCCUUCCCCAUCCUCCCCCCAUUGCCGCCCUCCCCCCAACAAUCACGUUCACUGGGGGUUCAGUCUUGGCAAGACCAAGGGCUUCCCCUUCCACUGGUGCUCUUACUAGGAUAUUCAUUGCUACCUAUGAGCUUGGAGCCCAGGAUAAGUCCAUGUAUAGUCUUUAGGUAGUGGCUUAGUCCCUGGAAGCUCUGGUUGCUUGACAUUGUUGUACAUAUGGG